CAGCCGCCACGGGAACACGUAGGGUGCGAGCGUUAAUCGGAAUUACUGGGCGUAAAGCGUGCGCAGGCGGUUUUGUAAGACAGGUGUGAAAUCCCCGGGCUUAACCUGGGAACUGCGCUUGUGACUGCACAGCUAGAGUAUGGCAGAGGGGGGUGGAAUUCCACGUGUAGCAGUGAAAUGCGUAGAGAUGUGGAGGAACACCGAUGGCGAAGGCAGCCCCCUGGGCCAAUACUGACGCUCAUGCACGAAAGCGUGGGGAGCUAACAGGAUUAGAUACCCCUGUAGUCCCUGUCUCUUAUAC
rnacentral:rRNA from 1 species